AUGAGUGUUUGCACAUGUGUGUGCCGGCAUGUCUCUGUGUGUGUGCAUCCAUGUAUUUGCACAACACUUGUAUGUAUGUGCGUGUGCUCAUACACGUUUGUGCAAUGGCUGUGCAGCACCUACAUCACUGACAGAGCCUGCUGCCUGCAGGCACCACGUGGAUGCACACGUUUGCACACUCAUGUGUAUGUAUGUUGCACGUCUGGAUGUGCAUGCUCACACGUGCGUGUGCAAGGGCUGCACAGCGCCCACAGUAGAGCUUGUGAGCUGGCUGCUUCCUGCUGGCACAAUACACGAGGCCCUGUGCUUGCACACACGCGUGCAUGCAUGUCUAUAUGCAUGUGUGCUCCCGCGUGCUUGUGCCUCAGCAGUGCAGCAACUGCAGCACUCGUGAACCACCCAUCACCCUUGCACACAUGCGUGUGCAUGCACUAUGCAAGUCUGUACAUGUGUGUGUGCAAUGCCUGUGUGAUAUGUGUGUAUGUGUGUGUGCAUAACGGGGCGUGCAACACCAGCACCACUUGCCGAGCGCAGUUGCUCCCUCUCGCCUGCUUGCACACUAUGUGUGCACAUAUGUGUGUGUGUACAUGUGCGUGCACAACAAACGCGUAUGCAUGCAUGUGUAUGUAUAUGUGUGCACGCUCACACGUGUGUGCACAACGGCUUUGCAGCACCCAAAGCACUGACGGAGCCCAUGUGUCGACUGCUGCCUGCAGGCACCACGUGUUGGCACACGUGUUUGCACACUCACGUGCAUAUAUAUUGCAUGUCUCUAUAUAUGGGUGUGCACACGUGGUUGUGCAAGAGGUGCACAGCACCCAGGGCACUGGCAGCGCCUGCAAGCUGAUGGCUUCCUGCUGGUGCGACACACUCAGCCUUGUGCUUGCACACACGUGCAUGCAUGUCUAUAUGUGCGUGUGCUCACAAGUGCGUGUGCCACAGCAGCUCAUGCUCCCAGCAUUUGCACGCCAACCGCCAUCUGCCAGCAACACACAGACGCUUGCACACACGUGUGCGCGCAUCAUGCAUGUCUAUACACCUGUGUGCUUAUGUGUGUGCACUACGGGUGCUUGA
rnacentral:lncRNA from 1 species